rnacentral:rRNA from 1 species
UACGUAGGGGGCAAGCGUUGUCCGGAAUCAUUGGGCGUAAAGAGCGUGUAGGCGGCCCGAUAAGUCCGCUGUGAAAGUCCAGGGCUCAACCCUGGAAUGCCGGUGGAUACUGUCGGGCUCGAAUCCGGAAGAGGUGAGUGGAAUUCCUGGUGUAGCGGUGAAAUGCGCAGAGUAUCAGGAGGAACACCAAUGGCGAAGGCAGCUCACUGGGACGGUAUUGACGCUGAGACGCGAAAGCGUGGGGAGCAAACAGG